ACUAGAGUAGCACUCGCAUAUCAAUAAGCGGAGGAAAAGAAACUAACAAGGAUUCCCCUAGUAACGGCGAGUGAAGCGGGAAGAGCUCAAAUUUGAAAUCUUAAAGGGUUUCCCUUUACGAAUUGUAGUUUAAAGAAGUGUUUUCUGUUGAGGUUUUGGUAAAAGUUCUUUGGAAUAGGACAUCAUAGAGGGUGAGAAUCCCGUAUUUGACCUUUACUUUCAACUUUGUGAUACACUUUCAAAGAGUCGGAUUGUUUGGGAAUGCAGUCCAAAAUGGGUGGUAAAUUUCAUCUAAAGCUAAAUAUUGGCGAGAGACCGAUAGCGAACAAGUACCGUGAGGGAGAGAUGAAAAGAACUUUGAAAAGAGAGUUAAACAGUACGUGAAAUUGUCAAAAGGGAAGCGUUUGACACCAGUGUUGUUUUUCUGAAAAUCAAUUAAAGAACUGUUUAUGCUAAGUUGUUUAGACUUUAUCAGCUAACUGUUUAGUUUUGAGCUUUUCUUUAAUGCACUUUUCAGUUAACAAGUCAACAUCAAUUUCUUUUGCUGUAAAAAAGCUUGAGGAAGGUGGCUUGAGAUUCGUCUUAAGUGUUUAUAGCCUCUUGCCUAUGCAGUCGGAGAGAUUGAGGUCUGCAGCGUAGAUCCUUCGGGGCUAAAUGCAUUUGUGCUAAGUUAUAGCAUUUUAUAGACAACUUGUUGACUAUGAUUUGUCUUGUAGCUUACUCGCUUAUGUUAUUUUACCUACGCUUAGGAUGUUGAUCUACAGAGCGAGAGU
rnacentral:rRNA from 1 species